rnacentral:rRNA from 1 species
CCUACGGGGGGCUGCAGUGGGGAAUAUUGGACAAUGGGGGCAACCCUGAUCCAGCCAUGCCGCGUGUGUGAAGAAGGCCCUCGGGUUGUAAAGCACUUUCAGUGAGGAAGAACGCCUGGUGGUUAAUACCCAUCAGGAAAGACAUCACUCACAGAAGAAGCACCGGCUAACUCCGUGCCAGCAGCCGCGGUAAUACGGAGGGUGCGAGCGUUAAUCGGAAUUAUUGGGCGUAAAGCGCGCGUAGGUGGCUUGAUAAGCCGGUUGUGAAGGCCCCGGGCUCAACCUGGGAACGGCAUCCGGAACUGUCAAGCUAGAGUGCAGGAGAGGAAGGUAGAAUUCCCGGUGUAGCGGUGAAAUGCGUAGAGAUCGGGAGGAAUACCAGUGGCGAAGGCGGCCUUCUGGACUGACUCUGACACUGAGGUGCGAAAGCGUGGGUAGCAAACAGGAUUAGAUACCCUGGUAGUC